rnacentral:rRNA from 1 species
GUAACGCGUAUGUAAUCUGCCUGUUAAACAACGAGGGGGAAUUAACCCCCGGGAGAAAAUCCGGCCUAAUACCUCAUAGCACAUAUUAUUCGCAUGAGUUUUAUGUUAAAGAGACUCGGUUACAGAUGAACAUGCGUUCCAUUAGCUGGUUGGCGGGGUAACGGCCCACCAAGGCAACGAUGGAUAGGGGUUCUGAGAGGAAGGUCCCCCACACUGGUACUGAGACACGGACCAGACUCCUACGGGAGGCAGCAGUGAGGAAUAUUGGUCAAUGGGCGCGAGCCUGAACCAGCCAAGUAGCGUGGAGGACGACGGCCCUACGGGUUGUAAACUCCUUUUAUAAGGGGAUAAAGUUGGCCAUGUAUGGCCAUUUGCAGGUACCUUAUGAAUAAGCAUCGGCUAAUUCCGUG